UACGGGGGGGGGUAAGCGUUGUUCGGAAUUACUGGGCGUAAAGGGCUCGUAGGCGGCCAACUAAGUCAGACGUGAAAUCCCUCAGCUUAACUGGGGAACUGCGUCUGAUACUGGAUGGCUUGGAUUUGGGAGAGGGAUGCGGAAUUCCAGGUGUAGCGGUGAAAUGCGUAGAGAUGUGGAGGAACACCGGUGGCGAAGGCGGGUCUCUGGGCCGAUACUGACGCUGAGGAGCGAAAGCGUGGGGAGCGAACAGG
rnacentral:rRNA from 1 species